ACGGGUGAGUAACGCGUGGGGAACCUACCUCUUUGUGGGGAAUAACGUUCCGAAAGGAAUGGUAAUACCGCAUGAGGCCAUGGACUGGGAUGUUCAUGGUGAAACCCGGGGACCGCAAGGCCUGGGGCAAGGAGAGGGUCCUGCGUCUGAUUAGCUAGUUGGCGGGGUAACGGCCCACCAAGGCGUCGAUCAGUAGCCGGCCUGAGAGGGUGAUCGGCCACACUGGAACUGAGACACGGUCCAGACUCCUACGGGAGGCAGCAGUGGGGAAUUUUGCGCAAUGGGCGAAAGCCUGACGCAGCAACGCCGCGUGGGUGAUGAAGGUCUUCGGAUCGUAAAACCCUGUCGUCAGGGACGAAGGUCGCAUGUCUAAUAGAUGUGUGACUUGACGGUACCUGGAGAGGAAGCCCCGGCUAACUCUGUGCCAGCAGCCGCGGUAAUACAGAGGGGGCAAGCGUUAUUCGGAAUUAUUGGGCGUAAAGGGCGCGUAGGCGGUGUCUUAAGUGAGAUGUGUAAUCCCCGAGCUUAACUUGGGAACUGCAUCUCAGACUGGGGCGCUAGAGUGCUGGAGAGGGUGGUAGAAUUCCACGUGUAGCGGU
rnacentral:rRNA from 1 species